AUACUUACCUGGCAGGGGAGAUACCAUGAUCAUGAAGGCGCUUUUCUCAUGGUCGCGGCUUAUCCAUUGCGUUCCAGAUGUGCUGACCUCUGCGAUUUCCCCAAAUGUGGGAAACUCGACUGCAUAAUUUGUGAUAGUGGGGGGCUGCGUUCGUGCUUUCCCCUG
ensembl:snRNA RNVU1-27 RNA, variant U1 small nuclear 27